UACGUAGGGUGCGAGCGUUAAUCGGAAUUACUGGGCGUAAAGCGUGCGCAGGCGGUGAUGUAAGACAGGUGUGAAAUCCCCGGGCUUAACCUGGGAACUGCAUUUGUGACUGCAUCGCUGGAGUGCGGCAGAGGGGGAUGGAAUUCCGCGUGUAGCAGUGAAAUGCGUAGAUAUGCGGAGGAACACCGAUGGCGAAGGCAAUCCCCUGGGCCUGCACUGACGCUCAUGCACGAAAGCGUGGGGACAAACAGG
rnacentral:rRNA from 1 species